rnacentral:tRNA from 1 species
GCGUCGGUGGCAUAGCGGUGGAAUGCUUCGCCAUCACGCUGAUGGUUCGGGGUUCGAUUCCCGGCCAACGCA